rnacentral:lncRNA from 1 species
GAAAGGGUCCAUUGUGAAGAAACUCCCUUUAACCAAUAAGUUCAGGUAAUGCAUCUCCUCUAAUACAAUUCGCUUAAUACUUUAUUUAAUUGAUUACCUAGAUUCAGCUUUUGAAAUGUUUUAAAAAUAUGUAAGUUGUUAGAUUGAUGUAGAGUAGAAGAAAUCUUGAAGUGGACAUUUUUGCUUAUUAGUACCUUUCAUUUGCUAAUUUAUGAACGUAUCAAAUUCUCAAGUAACCAAAAACUGGAAAAUUAUACUUUUGGCUUCUAAUUCAAUAUGUGCACGUCUUUGUUUUCUGCGCUGUUUCCAUUUAGGACACGUUUAGAAUUUUGGAUGUUUCUGUUUAGUUGGAAUAUUAAAGUUGGUUAAAUGGUGGACCGUAUACAAUCUAAUUAGUUACUUAUUUUUCUAAUUAGUUACUUAUUAAGUUUUACAUCCAAAUGCGUCUCUGAAAUAUUAUUGUAUAUAUAUCAUCGUCACUUCCAUCUUCUCCAUCAAAAUCUUUUUAAGAGCAAACCCUUUUAUAAACAUGGUUCACAAGAUGUAAAAGAUUUCAAUGAAGAAGAUAGAAAGUGAAGAUGCUCGAUACACNNNNNNNNNNNNAUGCUCGNUACACAACUUCUAGUAUCCAGAACGUAUUGGCCCGACUAAUCAGUACUCUGAAUUACACAAGACAACAAUAAGCUUUGCGCCAUAUAACGUUUUAGUUGACAAACCUAUGAUUAGAAAACGAAGACAGAUGGUCUUUUUAUACUACUGUCAGUCACAAGAAAUAAUUCUAAUGAAAUAUUUCAUUUGGAAAUUCAUUUAUGAUUUGGAAAAACUAGAUUUGCAUUGUAUUCUAGAUCCUACAGUUACCAUUUUUCAGAGAAAAUAUGCAAAUUUUUUCUUCAUUUUUUCCUGUUCUUUAGAAGAAUUUUAGGCAAGUCAUUAACGAGACAUGGUAUCAUAUGAUAUCAUUGGCAUUAGGGAUGUACAUGGGCCAGGUUGGUUCACUUUUUAUCAAAACCAAACCAAACCAACUAUAUCGGUUUGGAUUGGUUUGGUUUUUUCAGGUUAUUUUGUUACGUGAACAUUAUUUCAAUCUUACUUUGUUAAAGUUAUAGAUAAAUCUUUGAUAAGUGUCACACCUCCUUUUUCCCGAGGGGAUAUGGNAGUUUUUCCAUUUUAAGUGAUAUUAUUCGAAAUGAGAUUAUUUAUUUAAAUCAAAGUCGCCACUUGGGAUAAUUAUGGUAUCCCAAGUCACCGAUAUCAGUAUAAGACUAGAUUAGAAGUUGAUGAUGGAAUUAAGCUUUAUUCUGAGGUUCAUGAACUUGAGGAAAUGAAGUAUUAAGCAACUUGUGGUUAGUUGCAAUAAUAGAGCAUGUAGGUACUUGAUUAGUAUAUAGUAGUAGUUAAUUAUAGGUUAUGCCUAAGUUUACUUAUUGGAGAAGUUCAGAUGUUAUAUUUGAGUAAUGCAUGAACAUGUACAUAUACGAGAAUAAGGUAUAAAAUUGAUCUACUUAUUAAAAAGUAUGAUCUGUUUUUGGCAUACCUAGUUGCUUAUUCAUUUUCUUUUUUCCAUUCUUCUUUUGAUCAUUGAGUGAUGAUAGAUAAAUUCGAAAAUACUGCUACAAUGAAUAAACGGUUGCGUAAAAUGUAUCUAAAAAAGAAUUAUAUGUUAUGAUAUGAUUUAAAGUGAUACAAGUUUGAACCUUAGUGGACGUUUGGACAUAAGAAUUGUGAAAUUCUAGGAAAAAGUAAAAAAGAAAUUUCAAGUGAAAUUAGUAUUUGAAAAUCAGAGUUAUAUUUGGACAUGAAUACAAUUUGAAGAUGUUUUUGAAUUAUUGUGAGUGAUUUAGGUUUUUUUUUUGAAAAUUUUCAAUUCCGAAAUAUUCCAAAAUUCAACAUCAAAUAAAUUUGAAAUUUUCAAGGCCAAGCACAAAUUUCGGAAAAAAAUUUAAAAAAUUCCAAAAAAGGUAAAAAAUAAUUAUGGCCAAACGGGCCCUUAUUAUUCUUUUGUAUAUUCGAUCUAGUUAAUUGGAUUUUGAUUAUUCUUGUUCACCCUGUAAUAUUAUUGAAAUUUUAAGAUAUGACAAAAUAAAAUAAUAUCCUAAUCCUACAAAGGUAGGUUCAGGACAUAUCUUGUUGGUCUCUUUAAUAUGGUCAAUUUUUGACUUGAAGUCUUACCGUGAUGUUUAAUUUUGUUAAUUUAAUAAGUAAUAAAUAAUUUGGUAGCAAUUUAGCAAGUUUUUUGAGUUCCUUAAUAAAUUACAAGGAAAUCCUCCCCACCCAAUAGAAAAAGAGAUAGUUUGCGACACGACGGUAGAGUGCUGGUGGAAUAUUCUUUAUCUUUUGUUUGUUUGGAUGAUUGUUAUAUAUCGUUCAAAAUGUAUAGUAUAAUAUUAUAUUAUAUUCUGUCGUAUCGUUUUAAUGUAUAUAAUAUUUGUAUACAUUGUAUUAUUUGAUGUCGUUUCGUGAUGUCAUGUACCAACAAUAUGAAGAAUAAACUUGCAUUUUUAUUAAAAAGGUAAGGCACGAUGUAGAUUUAUUAUAUAAAAAGGUAGAGUAAAAGAUAAAAUAGGAUUAUUUAAUAAUAAGGAAGGGCAAGAUGAGAGAGAAAAAAUAAGGAAACGACGCAGCCACACCAAAUUGGUCGUUCCAUAAAGUGACACUUUUCGUUGUUACAUAAUGAUAUUUUUAACAAUACGAUACAAUAAAAUUUAAGUAAUAAUCGAAACAAAUAUUGUAUUUAAAAUAACAAUACGAUACAAUACAACAAGUAACAACCAUCCAAGCAAGCGAUUAGGUUAAAUUGAACUUGUAAUUAGGAUUGUUCAAAUUAAAUCGAAAAAUCGCACCAAACUCAAAAGCCAAAUCGAACAAAUUAAAAACAAACUCGAUUAGGUCUAGUUUGAUUUGGUUUGGUAUUGAUUAAAUUUUUUUUAACUAAACCAAAAUAUAAAUAUAUAAUUUUUAUAUAUACUUUUAAGACUUUAUAUAGAAUUUUCUUAAAAAAUAUCUAGAAAUAUUUGGGAUUCUCUUAUGGGAUGUAAUAUUUAAUAGAAUAUGAAGUGCUCCACUUUUAUUUACUUUAAAUAACGGGUUGUAUCAUCGUUUUCUUAUCAAGUGUUAUUGAAAUGCAUCAAUCUCUUUGUUUUUUCAUAUUCAUAUGUCAAAAUCGAUUAAAUUCUUAUAUCUUUUUCGAACAUGAAUGGUAUUUCGAUAAUUUAAAAUUAAAUAGAAUAUAUCAUUAUUUAGGUAUCAUAUUGAUUUUUAUAUUUAAUUAUUAAAUUCGGUUAACUUUGAAAUUGUACAUCAACGAAUAAUUAUUGUUAGACGACUAAAACAAUAACUAUCAUGUGUUACUAAAAACAUUCUCCCAUAAGAAUAUUUUAAUAGAUCAUAUAAUUAUUAGUGUUUUCAAAUUUUACUACACAUAUAUUUACUUAUCAAAAUUAUAACAAAGUAAGAUUAAAAUAAUAUUAAUGUAACAAAAAAAUCUGAAAAAUUCAAUAUAGUUAAUUUUGUUUGAUUUCAAUAAAAACUGAAGCAACCCGUCCGUCCAUGUAUAUCCCUACUUAUAAUUAAUGGGACUUGGAAUUUUAUAGCCGCUAAUUUUAGUUCUCUCUAUGAUGUAAAAGCAUUUCGUUGCGAACAAAUCUACUUACUAUAAACAUCAGGAGGCCAGUGGACAAACAUGCGUAUUUUUUGGCAAGUAAAGGCCAUAAAAAUAAAGUAAAUUAUUUGUUAAUUUUGAAAGAUUCUCAAGAAAAUAAAAUUUGUUCUCAUAGUUGACUUACGUCACGCAACUUAUGAAAAAUAUUAAAAAUCUUUUUUGUCAGUGUAUCGAAAUAAAGAUCAGACAAGACUUAUCGGUGUAAAAAAUUGCUCCAGUUGUUUUAAACUAUCAUUGCCUCAAUAAUUGAUUGAUUUGACCUUUCGAUUUCCAUGUGACGUUGGUUGAUCAUUCAUUUCACAUUCACCUAGGAUAAUGAAUGUCUUUUUUUUUUUGCACCGUCCAAAAUAACAAGUCACGGAGUCUUUAGCCUGUUUAGCCAAUUUUAUUUUUUUUUGUCAAAUAUGUUUUUUUUUUAAAUAUUUUUGAAAAGAAGCAAAAACAGAUUUUGAGAAGCAAAAAAAUAUAGUUUCUCUCUGAAAGCACUUUUCUGAAAAAUACUUGUAAGAAAAAUACACUUAGAAGCAGUUUUCAAAAACUUGGCCAAACACUAAUUACUUCUCAAAAGUAUUUUUCAAAUUAAUUAGCCAAACACAAACCGAUUCUCACCAAAAGUACUUUUUUGAAAAACACUUUUGAAAAAAAAAAACUCUCAAAAUAAGCAGAUUUUAAAAGUUUGGUCAAACAGGCUAUUAGCCAGAAACAGCAUGACAAAUUAUGUUUUAUCUAAAGAGAGGCGUAUUCGAGAUUUUAAUUUGAUGGGUUCAAUCUUUGUAUUUUUAUUAUUGAACCCAACAAUAAACCCAAUAGUUUUUUACUAUUGAACCCAUUGUACAUUAAUAAUUUUGCGUUCAGAAUAUAAUAUUUAUUGAGAUUUUGAAUUAUGUAUAUCUAAAUCAUAUAUUAAAGUUAUUAGUAUAGUUGAAUCCAUAUUUCGUAAUCUACAUUCCCUCUCUUAUCUAAAGGACUUCGUGUUCACAUUUAAAUGGAUUAAUGUCACUUUAGAUGCAAUCAUAAUUUGAAUGGAGGCCAAAUUGCACAUGAAUAAGACAAUCACUAUUUCUAUAGUGGUUUUGUUUACCGCACAAAGUAAAGAUGAUAUUGGCAUGCAUGCCUUCGUAUCUAAUCAACUUUAGUUUGUACUUUUGUAACUCUUUUCAAGUUCACGUUAUCUCUUAGUUCAUUGCCCCAACCUCUCGAGAAACCUGCAAAUUUCUAACCACACUUGACUGUUCGGUCUUUUAUAGUUUUCACGACUCGAAAUUCCCACCUUCAGGAUCGUGAUGGCGCCUAACAUUUCACUUGCUAGGCAAAUCAACGUUAGAGAAUUCUUUAAACCAAUUUUAAUCAAUUUCAAGCGCAGAAUUAAUUAAACUAAAUAGAAGCUAAAACUGAAAUGCGGAAUAACAUAAAACCCAUAAUAUCUGAUACAAUUCGGAUCUAGAGUCACAACUCACGAGGUUCUGAGAUUUUCUACAAACAGAGUUUGAAAGAAAUACAACUGUUCUGAAUAAAAAGAAACAGUAAAAACAUGGGAGAUAGAAGGGGACUCCAAGGUCUGCGGACGCCAGCAGAUCUACCUCGAGUCUCCAAUACGCAAGUCCAAGCUGCUAAGCCUCGCGAUCAGCUAGGACCGGUACCAAAAUCUGCACAAGAAGUGCAGAGUAUAGUAUGAGUACAACCGACCCCAUAUACUCAUAAGUGUCGAUCCUAACCUCGACGAAGUAGUGGCGAGGCUAAGACAAGACGCCCACAUAAUAAACUUAUGCAGAUAACAUUAUAUGUACAAGAAAACAGCAGUAACAGCUAAACAUGUACUAUUGGAAGGGGGACAUUCUAAAGGGGCAUAAGAUAUAAGAGAUAUAGUGAAAAUGAUAACCAGAACAGUCAACAUGCUUUUAACUACUGAAAACAACUAAACACAAUGAAGAAAGUUGCACGGCAUCACCCUUCGUGCUUUUACUCUCAAGCUCACAAUGAAGCAAUAAUAUUGCACGGCAUCACCCUUCGUGCUUUUACUCUCAACCUCACAAUAUAAAUCAAUAGAUACGGCACGACAUCACCCUUCGUGCAUUAACUCUCAUAACAUAGUACGACAUCACCCUUCGUGCAUUAACACUCACAAUAUGGCACGACAUCACCCUUCGUGCAUUAAUACUCACAAUAUGGCACGACAUCACCCUUCGUGCAUUAUCACACUCAAUAUGGCACGAGUGUACGUAUAUGUAAGGAAGUAUUUUCUCGGGCAUUGUUCAGGUUUUUGUGGCGAUGCACAAAAAACGUAAGUUUAAGCUUUCAGAUGAGCGGGAAAGUAACGGGGUUUUCUAUGAUCCCCCGUUACCGAAAGGGUCCAUUGUGAAGAAACUCCCUUUAACCAAUAAGUUCAGGUAAUGCAUCUCCUCUAAUACAAUUCGUUUAAUACUUUAUUUAAUUGAUUACCUAGAUUCAGCUUUUGAAAUGUUUUAAAAAUAUGUAAGUUGUUAAAUUGAUGUAGAGUAGAAGAAAUCUUGAAGUGGACAUUUUUGCUAAUUAGUACCUUUCAUUUGCUAAUUUAUGAACGUAUCAAAUUCUCAAGUAACCAAAAACUGGAAAAUUAUACUUUUGGCUUCUAAUUCAAUAUGUGCACGUCUUUGUUUUCUGCGCUGUUUCCAUUUAGGACACGUUUAGAAUUUUGGAUGUUUCUGUUUAGUUGGAAUAUUAAAGUUGGUUAAAUGGUGGACCGUAUACAAAAUUGGAAUUAUGGUAAGUUAAAC